rnacentral:rRNA from 1 species
UGCGUAGGCGGAUUAAUAAGUCAGUGGUGAAAUCUUUCGGCUCAACCGAGAAACUGCCAUUGAUACUGUUAAUCUUGAGUUCGGUUGAGGUAGGCGGAAUGUGUAAUGUAGCGGUGAAAUGCUUAGAUAUUACACAGAACACCAAUUGCGUAGGCAGCUUACUAGACCGACACUGACGCUGAGGCACGAAAGCGUAGGGAGCGAACAGGAUUAGAUACCCUGGUAGUCC